GAUGAACGCUAGCGGCAGGCUUAAUACAUGCAAGUCAAGGGGCCAGCAAUGGCACCGGCGGACGGGUGAGUAACGCGUACACAACGUACCUUUAACUGGGGGAUAGCAUCUGGAAACGGGUGGUAAUACCGCAUGUGGUUGCGGGGAGGCAUCUCCUUGUAACUAAAACUUUGGUGGUUAGAGAUCGGUGUGCGUCUGAUUAGCUAGUUGGUAGGGUAGAGGCCUACCAAGGCGACGAUCAGUAGGGGGCGUGAGAGCGUGUACCCCCACACGGGUACUGAGACACGGACCCGACUCCUACGGGAGGCAGCAGUAAGGAAUAUUGGUCAAUGGAGGGAACUCUGAACCAGCCAUGCCGCGUGAAGGAAGAAGGCGCUACGCGUUGUAAACUUCUUUUGGGUGGGACGAAAAUAAUCCAUUUAUGGAUAGCUGACGGUACCAUCAGAAUAAGCACCGGCUAACUCCGUGCCAGCAGCCGCGGUAAU
rnacentral:rRNA from 1 species